AAUAUGAAAUCUGGCCUCUUCGGGGUCCGAGUUGUAAUUUGUAGAGAGUGCUUCGGGUGAGACCGCGGUCUAAGUCCAUUGGAACAUGGCGUCCCAGAGGGUGAGAAUCCCGUAUGCGACCGUGGCUCGAGCCCAUGUGAAGCCUCUUCGACGAGUCGAGUUGUUUGGGAAUGCAGCUCUAAAUGGGUGGUAAAUUUCAUCUAAAGCUAAAUACUGGCUGGAGACCGAUAGCGCACAAGUAGAGUGAUCGAAAGAUGAAAAGCACUUUGGAAAGAGAGUUAAACAGUACGUGAAAUUGUUGAAAGGGAAGCGCUUGCAACCAGACCUGCCCGUAGGCGAUCAACCGCUGUUCUCAGCGGUGCACUCGUUCUGCGAUCAGGCCAGCAUCGGUUCGGGCGGCCGGAUAAAGGCCUUGGGAAUGUAGCUCCCUUUCGGGGGAGUCUUAUAGCCCUCGGUGCAAUGCGGCCAGCCGGGACCGAGGACCGCGCUUCGGCUAGGAUGCUGGCGUAAUGGUUGUAAGCGACCC
rnacentral:rRNA from 1 species